UACGGAGGAUUCGAGCGUUGUCCGGAUUCACUGGGUUUAAAGGGUGCGUAGGUGGGUUGGUAAGUCAGUGGUGAAAUCCCCGAGCUUAACUUGGGAACUGCCAUUGAUACUAUCAGUCUUGAAUACCGUGGAGGUCAGCGGAAUAUGUCAUGUAGCGGUGAAAUGCUUAGAUAUGACAUAGAACACCAAUUGCGAAGGCAGCUCACUACACGAAUAUUGACACUGAGGCACGAAAGCGUGGGGAUCAAACAGG
rnacentral:rRNA from 1 species